rnacentral:lncRNA from 1 species
AAGUCCCAGAGGUGCCAAAGAAACCUGUCCCUGAAGAAAAGAUUCCCGUUCCUGUUGCAAAGAAAAAGGAAGCUCCCCCAGCUAAAGUUCCUGAAGUACAGAAGGGAGUUGUGACAGAAGAAAAAAUAACCAUUGUAACUCAAAGAGAGGAAUCUCCACCACCAGCAGUGCCAGAAAUACCAAAGAAGAAAGUUCCUGAAGAAAGGAAACCUGUUCCUCGGAAGGAGGAAGAAGUUCCACCACCACCAAAAGCUCUGCCUAAGAAACCCGUCCCAGAGGAGAAAGUUGCAGUGCCAGUUCCUGUCGCUAAGAAAGCUCCUCCUCCCCGAGCUGAAGUCUCUAAGAAAACUGUUGUAGAAGAAAAGAGAUUUGUUGCUGAAGAAAAACUAUCCUUCGCAGUUCCUCAAAGAGUGGAAGUCACGCGGCACGAAGUAUCUGCAGAGGAGGAAUGGAGUUACUCAGAAGAGGAGGAAGGUGUGUCCAUUUCAGUUUAUAGAGAAGAAGAAAGAGAGGAGGAGGAAGAAGCAGAGGUUACAGAAUAUGAAGUGAUGGAAGAGCCUGAGGAAUAUGUUGUGGAAGAAAAGCUGCACAUUAUUUCUAAGAGAGUGGAAGCUGAGCCAGCUGAAGUGACAGAGAGGCAGGAGAAGAAAAUUGUACUGAAACCAAAAAUUCCUGCUAAAAUAGAGGAGCCUCCACCGGCUAAAGUUCCUGAAGCACCUAAGAAAAUUGUGCCAGAAAAGAAAGUUCCUGCUCCAGUUCCUAAAAAGGAAAAGGUGCCCCCACCUAAAGUGCCAGAAGAGCCAAAGAAACCAGUUCCAGAAAAAAAGGUUCCUCCAAAAGUCAUUAAGAUGGAAGAACCUCUCCCAGCCAAAGUGACUGAGAGGCACAUGCAAAUUACCCAGGAAGAAAAAGUUCUUGUUGCUGUAACUAAAAAAGAGGCGCCUCCAAAAGCAAGAGUGCCAGAGGAACCGAAGAGAGCUGUCCCAGAAGAAAAAGUUCUGAAACUCAAACCUAAAAGAGAGGAGGAACCACCAGCUAAAGUGACUGAAUUCAGAAAAAGAGUGGUUAAAGAAGAAAAAGUAUCAAUUGAAGCUCCAAAAAGAGAACCUCAACCCAUCAAAGAAGUAACUAUAAUGGAAGAGAAAGAAAGGGCUUAUACCCUAGAAGAAGAAGCUGUUUCAGUACAACGGGAAGAAGAAUAUGAGGAAUAUGAAGAAUAUGAUUAUAAAGAAUUUGAGGAGUAUGAA